ensembl:snRNA U1 U1 spliceosomal RNA
AAAUUUGCCUGGCAGAGGAGAUACUAUAAUCAAGAAGAUGAUUUUCCCAGGGUGAGGCUCAACCAUGACCCUUGGGAUACACUGACCCCUUCAAUUUUCCCAAACAUGGGAAAUUUGACUACAGAAUUUAUGAUAAUGGGGGACUGUGUUUAUACUCUCCCCUA